rfam:Daphnia pulex DAPPTscaffold_1541_Cont13067, whole genome shotgun sequence.
GCGAUGGUGGUAUAGUGGUUAGCAUAGUUGCCUUCCAAGCCGUUGAUCCGAGUUCGAUGCUCGGAUAUUGCA